rnacentral:lncRNA from 1 species
AUGAUUGAAUGAAGGAGUAAGAAUAUGAAAGAAAUGCCCUUGGCUUUGUUCUUGGCAGAUUAAACAGGCAUAUGACAUCUAUUAAUGGGUUAAUAUUAGAUUAAAUGGGUUAAUUAGAUUAAAUGAGUUAAGAUUAAAUGGGUUAAUAUAUAUAAGCACACAAAACAGUACCUAGCGCAUGGGAAGCAUGUGCCUGGCUGACUACUAUUGUUAAUGUGAUGCCUGCAUCUGUUCGACUACUCACAUCUUUAGGUCAUGGCAUACCCAUCUCAAGGACAAUCUCUGAGAUGGUCUCACUUGACUGACUAAGCCACUCCAACUGGGGGGCUAGAUAAGAGAAAGGUGGCAAGUGUUUGAUUUCCCCUAUAUAACACGUGAAAUGGGUAGCUUAGGUUCUUUAAGGCAUCAUUAUCAGAUUUAAUAAUGGUGGGCACUGGUAAAAAGAAUGAUUAGAAAGGCUUACUUGACUCAGUUAAAAAGACUUAAUUGGAAGGGUUGUUCAUUCUGUCAGAAUCAACAUGGAAAUAUUGAAAUAGGGCUUACCAUGACCCAGGUGACAGAUACCUUUAGACUUCCCUGACCGAUAUAUACCUACACAUCUAAGAACACUACACCAUGGGGCCGGGUGCGGUAGCUCACGCCUGUA